rnacentral:rRNA from 1 species
CCUACGGGUGGCAGCAGUGAGGAAUAUUGGUCAAUGGACGAGAGUCUGAACCAGCCAAGUAGCGUGAAGGAUGACUGCCCUAUGGGUUGUAAACUUCUUUUAUAUGGGAAUAAAACGUUCCACGUGUGGGAUUUUGUAUGUACCAUAUGAAUAAGGAUCGGUUAACUCCGUGCCAGCAGCCGCGGUAAUACGGAGGAUCCGAGCGUUAUCCGGAUUUAUUGGGGUUAAAGGGAGCGUAGGUGGAUUGUUAAGUCAGUUGUGAAAGUUUGCGGGUCAACCGUAAAAUUGCAGUUGAAACUGGCAGUCUUGAGUACAGGAGAGGUGGGCGGAAUGCGUGGUGUAGCGGUGAAAUGCUUAGAUAUCACGAAGAACUCCGAUUGCGAAGGCAGUUCACUGGACUGCAACUGACACUGAGGCUCGAAAGUGUGGGUAUCAAACAGGAUUAGAUACCCCGGUAGUC